UCGAACUCAGGACCUUGCGCUUGCGAGGCAGACGGCGGCACCACUAAACUAAAUCCCCCGCCCCCCGUUUCUGUUUUGAAACAGUGUCCAAGUUGCCACUGUCCAGGCUGGGCUCGAACUGGCAGUCCUCUAGCCCCAGCCUCCCAGAGCGCCAAGCUGGUUCUGCGUGUUCGGGGGCGGGCGAAGGAGCAGGCCCUCCUGCCUACGCCCUGUAGACCUCGGAGCAGGAGCCGGAGCGGAGCCGGGCCUCCCAGAAUUCGAAGAUCACAAGGAAGCAGCAUCAAGCCCGUCUGGAACCCCAGCACUCAGGAGGCUGAGGCAGGAGGAUCCCAAAUUGAAGCCCAGCCUGGGCAAUUCAGCGACUUAAUGAGACCUUGUUUCAAAUUUGAAAAAAAAAAGCGCUGGAGAUGUAGCUCAGUGCAAAGGCCCUGGGUUCAGUUUCCAGGAACAAAACAAAAACCCAAAAGCAAACCCUAAAUUUUUACAGACCCAGACACAAAAAGCCUGUAAAUUGGGCCCGGGCUUUGUAGGAAGGGAUGAAUGUUGUCUGUAAAUUGAACCCCACAGACUCCACCCCAGCAACCCAGUUUUAGGUCACAAGGUCUCCCCCCCCCCUUCUCCAGGGCCCCCUCUCUUCUCUCUGAAUGUGUACUUUAAAUUCUGCCUAAUACAACUCUUUAUGCCUCUCA